CAGCAGGAUUUAGACUACAAUACUGCUGUUAAAUGCCAUUUUCUCGUCCCCCCUGCUCAAAGUAAAGUCGUUUCUUAUCUAUGCCUGUCUGCUAGUUUCUUGCAGCAGCUCAGGGACCUUGGUCUCAUACGU